rnacentral:rRNA from 1 species
GACGAACGCUGGCGGCGUGCUUAACACAUGCCAGUCGAACGGAAAGGCCCUGCUUUUGUGGGGUGCUCGAGUGGCGAACGGGUGAGUAACACGUGUGUAACCUGCCUUUGACUUUGGGAUAACUUCAGGAAACUGGGGCUAAUACCGGAUAGGCGCUCCUGCUGCAUGGUGGGGGUUGGAAAGUUUCGGCGGUUGGGGAUGGACUCGCGGCUUAUCAGCUUGUUGGUGGGGUAGUGGCUUACCAAGGCUGUGACGGGUAGCCGGCCUGAGAGGGUGACCGGCCACAUUGGGACUGAGAUACGGCCCAGACUCCUACGGGAGGCAGCAGUGGGGAAUAUUGCACAAUGGGCGGAAGCCUGAUGCAGCAACGCCGCGUGCGGGAUGACGGCCUUCGGGUUGUAAACCGCUUUCGCCUGUGACGAAGCGUGAGUGACGGUAAUGGGUGAAGAAGCACCGGCUAACUACGUG